rnacentral:rRNA from 1 species
GAUGAACGCUGGCGGCGUGCUUAACACAUGCAAGUCGAACGAAGCACUUUGGACAGAUUCUUCGGAUGAAGUCCUUGGUGACUGAGUGGCGGACGGGUGAGUAACGCGUGGGUAACCUGCCUCAUACAGGGGGAUAACAGUUAGAAAUGGCUGCUAAUACCGCAUAAGCGCACGGUACUGCAUGGUACAGUGUGAAAAACUCCGGUGGUAUGAGAUGGACCCGCGUUGGAUUAGCUAGUUGGCAGGGUAACGGCCUACCAAGGCGACGAUCCAGAGCCGGCCUGAGAGGGUGGACGGCCACAUUGGGACUGAGACACGGCCCAGAGUCGUACGGGAGGCAGCAGUGGGGAAUAUUGCACAAUGGGGGAAACCCUGAUGCAGCGACGCCGCGCGAGUGAUGACGGUCUUCGGAUUGUAAAGCUCUGUCUUUAGGGACGAUAAUGACGGUACCUAAGGAGGAAGCCACGGCUAACUACGUGCCAGCCGCCGCCGUAACAC